AAUAAAAUAAAAAUCUGCAACGAUACCUUUGGAGUUUCGUUUUACUAAAACAAAGUUUAGUGGAGUUUAAUUAAAGUUAAAGCUAUCGGAGAACAAAUUUGAUCUCCAUUGGUCUCGAAUCGAUGAAUUUGACACUUCCCAAGAGUCUUGUUUGACUCAUUGAGUCAAUCGCAAUUAAUUGCUUCAAUUUUAAAUUUUCCUUUUGUCAAAUUUGGAUGAACGUAUGAAAAGAUUUAAGAGCUUAUGAAUUUUGGAACCAAACAAUUUACACCUUUGGAUCUUGCAGGAUUUUAUUUUGCCUCCUUGGCUGCCCCGCCAUGUGUUUAUUAAAUGUCGUCCUUAUCAAAUACAAAUUGGUUCAUUUAGUCCACAUCGUACCCAUCGAAAUCUGAACGUCUUGGUGGUGUUGGAGCAUUCGCAUCGAUCGUGCACUCCCCGGCAAUUUUGAGGAGGUCAGCUCGUCAAUCACCUGGAAUGACCAUGGCCAUGGGCAUGGGUUAGGGUUUUGGAGGCGUGUGAGCAAAGAGCAGUGACAACGAGGGGAAAAUCAAGGAUUUGGAGCAAAGGAAGAAACGUGUGAAAAGGUCAAGGAACGAUGGGGAAGAAGUUGUCGUGGGGGUUUAAACGAAGUUUACGUAGAAGAGAAACUAAAUAAAAGGAAAGAUAAAAUUCUAAACCUGGCCAUGUUGAAUACUCUCGUCUCUUCAUCCAAGAAAAGAGAGACCCAUCAUAUGCUUUCUUCUCCCGAAAAGGAGUAAGAUCAGAUGUGAAAUGCUAAAAUCAAGGUGGACGAAUGUGAGUCUUAAGCGCGAAGCGAAAAAGGAUAAAAAGCAAAGCAAUAAUUUGUAUUCCAUCCCACUUUUCCUUUGAAGUUUGAAGUGUAGCUAGUUUCUUUUGCAAGAAAGACCACGAAGUGAAUUAUCUCACUUAUUCACUUCUCAGACCCUAAAAGUUGCUAAGUUCAGUUUUCUUUCAAAAGCUUAAACUUUGACUCUAGAAUUGCAAAGUUGAGAUUUUUAAGUUCGUCACUGUCUGAGCAAGACGCCAAUUCAUCUCAUAACAUACUUUGAUGGGACAUAUUUUUGGUUACCAUAUAAGUUUGGGAUUUUGAUGAUAAACGUACACUUUGGAUAAUUGGUAAUAUGGUAAAUAUAAAGGUCAUGAUUUUUUAUGGAAUCGCACACUCAAUGUUGUCGAAUUUGCUGCCCACCCAUUGCCAUCACUAGCCCUCAACUUCAUGCAUCGAAUAGCUUAUAUACUACUUUUAGCCCAUGGUAAACAUUUUUAUGGAUCGAAUAGCUUUACGUGAUUCAAACAUUGGAAAUUACAGAAACCAAUUUCCCAAAUAUGAUUUUUUUUUAAUCAAACUUUAGAAGGAAGAUCAUGAGGGGCAAUUCCAUUUUUUUUUUUCAUUUUUUGAGAAAAGUACUACCCUCCGGAACAAAAUUGUAUGAGUGUCUACACGACAACGUUGUUGAUGAAUCCAAACCAAAAAAAGAAGACAUUGAUAAAUGUCAGAUUUGUUUGCCAACAAACCAUAUAAUUGAUGCCAAUAAAGAGAUCCAAAGUGAACAAUCAUAUCCCUUCAUAUAAUUGAUGCCAAACUCAUUGAUUUUCCAAGACUUGGACAUAGUAUUGAUGAAAAGAAUCUUUAAUACCGCCGCCCUAAAAAUAGAAGCACUCCCAACAAGUAAACCGAGUGAUUGAAUCCCAUUAUCUGACGAAAUCAACUCAAUGAUGUAAGUUUAACAAUUACUCUCAUGAUGCAGAAAAGGAAUCGGAUCUAGUCGUGCAAAGAGGUAGCAGCACGACCACAACAUCAGUAAUAAUUAGGGUACUGAUACAUCAAUGAGGUCUACCCUUACCGGGUCUUUACUAAACUUUUUUUUUCCUUUUUACAGAUAAAGUAUGAAUUAGAUAGUAAAUCUCUCAAUAAUAAAUAGAUAAUAGGAAAUACGAUUCUCCAAUUUCUUUUUGAAUUCACAUAUGGCAUUUUUGUGUUAUUUUUUUUCAGUUACUAAUUCAAUUCUACUACCUUUUUAUAUUAUCGCAGAAGUUUUAUCACAUAAUUUGUUUUACCGUUGUAUCAUUUACAUGAAGAUUCAAAAUACGAUCUAACUAAAUGGAAUAAAUCAAAUCUCACUAAAUCCAAAUGUUAAACAGAAAAUGGAAUAGCCAGAUUAGAAUCUGACUUGACAUUCUAGAAAAACAGGAAUUCUUUCUAAUUAUUUUUUAACUACUAACUAAAACGUGUAAUGUAUUUCUAGCUGAUAUCUCCUUCUGUUUUCCUUUCUUGCCGACUAGCUCUAUACGUAAGGACCGGGUCGUGAUGGUCUGAAUGCUUCGCCGGGGAGUCUCGACUAAAAGCAGCCUCCCUUCGGCCGGGAUUCUCUUGCUUUUUAACCUUUUGCUUUUCACGCUAAAUCUUUGCUGAAGAUAUGGUCAUUCAUCAUGAGGGUGUGCUGCAAUUUCUCCGCUGCCGUGUCCUUCUUGACCACGUUCUUCUCCUCAUCAGAGCAAUCCACCGAAGCCCACCGAGAAUUCCACUUGCGCUAUUCUUUUAUUUUUUGUCUUUUUUUAAACUUUAUCUGCUUUCGGUUACUCAUGGCCCGGCCAUGUCCCCUCGUCCUUAUCUUGGUGUUCAGUUAGUCAACACGUUUCCACCGUAUCGUGUCCCACCAGAUUUUGCUCUCCAUUUUUGCAGAAUUUCAGCUCUCCCUUCCUGUUCCUUCGUGUGUUUUCACACUGCUAUUUCCCUUCCUUCGCACUCGCAUGAAUGCCGUAUCGAAAGUGGCCUCAAGUCAACCAUUUCGGUUCACAAAAAUUCGCAAUUUUAUUGGAAAGGGUCUGUAAUUUUAAAUGCGAAAGAAUGCAAUAGAGAUCAAGAAUGCAUGAUUACAAAUGUUUUUUUUUUAGUAAGGGGUCAAAUUAUCAAUGAUUUUUUUUUUUUUUGGUAACCAAGGAUCCGCCGGGCCUGCCAAGCAGCCCAUGGCCUGUAGAGUGCGUGAUGCACCUAGGACCAAGUGUCAAUACUUCAUGGACUGGCUUAGUAAUCCACUCUUGAGACCCCCACUUAAGUCAUGUUAGCAACGGGAGGGCUCGAAUUCUCGACCUCGGCAAUGGAUGAGAGAAUGCACAUCAACUGAGCUAUCCAUGUGUGGGUAAUUAUCAAUGAAUUUGAUUGCUGAAUUUCAUGAGAAUGCAGAUAGGACCUUUAGGCGAAAAUCUGUGUCAACAAUAAUUUUCCUCAAGUUAAUUAAUGGAGACCGAAACAUCACUGGAUUAGAAGGGCAAAGUCAAAGUCUACAAAGACUUGGACUACCAACCGUCCAUGGUGACCCAACUUUGCUCUGAGAAGGAUUCACAUCCAUGAAUGAGCCAAGUCUCUGAAGACUUGGACGACCAAAGGCACACGCUAAGGCAUUGGCGGGUCUUCUUUUCCACAUUAGGAAUUUUUUUUUUUUGACAAAUUCCACAUUAGGAUUAACCCAUCUUCUUUUUCUUUGCUUUUAUUGCUUUAUUUCUUUUCAUUAUCACUCUGCUUUUUUGACGAGAUUUUCCUUGGAUUCUCGCCGUGAAUGAUGGUUGUGGUACCGGUGGGUCAAUUACCUUGAUAGUUGAUUGAUAGGCGGCCACCAUUUGAUCAAUAAUUCUUUUUCUUUUCUUUUUUUCGCACAACAGCACUACUCUUUGAGGAUACAUAUGAGUUGGGGCUUCUAUAAGAGGGCAAGAGCCUCAACCCUGAACGCAGAAGGCGCCGCUUACUGCUCGCACCACUCCGUCCACCAACCUCCCGGCGGAAUCACGACGGACGCAAGUGAUCGAGCCUCCAGUAGGUCCAGGUUCGUAGGCACCGUCUAUGUUUAUCUUUAGUGUUCCAGCCUACGGUGGGUUCCAAAAUCGUGACGAUCCGUCGCUGGUCUUACUAGAUUCGCUCGAUUUUGGGUUCCAUCUGUUGAAACUCUUCAACUAAAGCAAACUCCACAAGGUUGCUUGGUUUUGGUUUUCUAUUCUUGAAGAUGGCCUGGUUUCUUGACUUCCAAAUAUUCCACAGUACUUUAGUAAUCGUCUGAUUCGAGACUUGGCUUCUUGCAUCCUGAUCUUGAGCUCUCUAGCUCUCAUCUCUGCUAUUCUUCCAUUCACCAGUGUAAAAUAUUCGUAAAUUACCAAGAUUAUCUAAAUUUUACCGACAUUCCAAUGAAGUAGUAAAUUAACUCACUUGAAAAUUUUCAUCAUUGUUGUAAGUAAAGUACCGACAUCUUUAGAAAUUUACCAACAUGCCAAUAAAGUAGUAAAUUACUGACUCCUACAAAAUUUUACGAGUGUGGUAAGUAUAUUACCGACACAGUCUAAGAAUUUACAAACACUACAUGGAAGUAUUAAAUUACCCACUCUCAAAUUUUACCAGUGUUAAUAAAUUACUAGCAAUAUCAAGAAUUCACUGACAUAAGAGUCAAGUGGUUAACUACCAACUCUUAUUACCAAAAUCAUAAAUAAAUUACUGGCACAUACAAGAAUUUAACAACAUUUUAAUGAAUUAAUAUAUUACCAACUCCUCUGAAAUUUACUUACCAGCACUAUAAAAAAAAUAUACCAAUAUAUUAAUGAAGGAGUUAACCCACUCCAAAGAAAUUUUAUCCAUGUGGUCAGUAGAUUGCCAACUCUUAUCAUCCAUUGAUUCUACACUUUAUCUUAAGAUGAAAUUGAAAGCAACAGGAUCCUUGAAUCACUUGAGGUGAUCAAAUCAUAAAGGUGGAGUCAUGGAGGCUAGAUUUAAACUACUUAAACUCAUACCCUUGUUCAAAUCCGAUUCAAACGUCGAGCUAUACUUGAAGUAGUGGCUACAAUAUUGGCUUAAUUUUUAUUUUAACACAUCAAAUGAAUAGCAGUGUAUCGGUAUUUUACCUUCAACUCGGAAUUCCUAUAGACUAACGGUCUCACCAUGUCCUUGGCAGAAAAAAUUUUGACACUCUUAGUAUAUUGGAAAGUGGAGGGGCACAUCUCUAGAACCAAUACAAAACAAAACUAACUUUCGAGCUUAGAUAUGGGUGGACUCUUUUCCUUUUGUUCUUUCUCAUAAUCGUAGUCUAUGAAGUUGGAGCCCAAUGCUAAUACAAGAAUCAUUCAAUGUGGAUAUCUUUAUUUUUUAGAUUCCUGACAAUGUGGCAUGUGCCUAUCCUAAUUUUAUAGAGUAAUUAUAGGGGAAGCUAAUACUCUAUGUCCAUUCUUCCCUAAAUAGAGCAAACUCUCAACCACCAUAAUUAGAUUAUUAAACAAACAAAUUAUAUCGGAAGUAUCAAUGAAGUUGCUGUUGAACCUUAUAUAAUGCAUUGGAUGUUGAAUAACAGAGAACCAUAUUAUUAUUUGGUUGUACAUUAUAUAAGUUCCAAACCUUAUAUUUUGUUAACUUUGUCAAUUGGUUGUACAUUAUAUAAGUUCCAAACCUUAUAUUUUGUUAACUUUGUCAAUGUCCGAUCAUGUUGCAAUAUCAUUUCGAAAUAGUACCACUAUGUCGUCUCGUGUGGCAUAUUUAGUCAUCUCGGAGCUUCUAAUUGGUGUCUCACAGUCAAGUAUAUUAACAAGUACAACGCUCCAUCAAUACAAAUAAUUAUCAAUAUCACUAGUAAACAAAUGCACACAAUCAUCCGGCACACAUAUAGUAGCAUAAAAUAUGUUUGUAUGUUACUCACAAAUAGAUGCAGAAACGAUGUUAAUAAUCUACUAAAAAUUUAGGGAAAUGAUUUUUUUUUUUUGAGGAAGUUACAAAUAUUAACUGGUGUCACUAGUAAAACAUAUGUAAGGAACUCGUAAUCAACUAGAGGAAAAACACAAAAAUGACUAUUCUUAAUAUUUCAAGCAAGUAAAUCAAUUGUUUCGUUUGCAUGUUACUAACAAUAAAAUUGCAACUCAUAAAAUUGAAACAAGGUUAAUAAUAUAGUAAGGAUUUAUACUUGUAAAAUAGUUAUUUUUUUGUAAUUUACUACCGUCCACCAAGACUACUAACAAAGUAUGCAAGCAACUCAUAGUUUACUACCAAAAAUCCUCGCCCACUUAUAAAAGCAAACAAUUGCUCGUAAGGUACAGGAGUAUUUUCCAUAUGGUAAAUCGAUUAUUCCGUUUACGUAGUAUUUACAGAUGAACACUGCUACUCAUAAAUUCGAAACAGUGUUAACACUAUAGUUGGAUUUAGAGGGGUAAAAUACUAUUUUGUUUGUAAGUUGGAACAUCAAUCGGGACUAUUAAUAAAAUAUAUAAGCAUUUAUAAUCAACGAGUGAAAAUUGCUAACCCAUUUGCAAAAUCUAAAAGAAAAAAAAUGGUAAUCUACUAUUUGGUUUGAGGAUGAAAAAACUUCUUCUUCUUUUUUAAUAACUUUCUAACAAUAGAUCAGACUCACAAGUUAUCAGUUAAUUUUUACUUACAAGUGGUACUUCAAGUUUAUAAUUUGUUCUUUAAAUCUAGCAUGCAUGAAUCAAAACUUCAUUUUUGGUUUACGGAAUUUUAGAACGUGUAAGAUUUCAACUACAACUAUCUCAUCUCAUGAAUAGCUUUGGUUAAUUUUUUGAUCCAUUUUAGAGAGAGCAGCGGUCAUAUUUGCCAAAGUGACAUUAAGAAGAAACAAUUGAUGUUGUAGAAAUUUGAGCAGUGUGGAACUCUUCUUUUUAAAAAGAAUGCUCCGCGUUGUGUUAUGUCAAAUGAGGACAUGUUAAUGUUCUCCCUUUGAGAUUUAAAACUCAUGGGGAAUAAUUAUGUUCUCAAGAUUUGAGAAGAGUGAACCGUUUUUUUCUUUAAAAAAAAAAAAUGAAAACUCAGCACUCUUCUAUGUUAAUGUUCUCCUUAGGAGAUUAAAUUCCCUUAAGAUGUUAAAACUCCCCUUGAGAUUUAAUACUCCUAUGUUCACGUGCAUUGUCGACUUAGGCAAGCUGGAGUGAUGUUGCAAUAGCUAAUCCAGGCUACUAAGUUUAGUGACCUACAUAGAUUUCCAUUUGUGAGUCGGGCUUCUAUACAUUUUCCAUCUCUAGCUCCCACUACUUUUGCUGAUAUAAUGUUUGGUAUUUCUUGAAGAUCAAAUUGAGUGAAAUCAAUGGAGGGGAGUGUAGAAACACAACAUACCUGGCAAAAUGAUGGAAUAGCAGGGAGCGCUUCUUUUACUCACACUACAACAGAAGGCCAGGGAAUGGUCAAUUCAUCAAGACACGAAUACGAAGUAUUCUUGAGUUUUAGAGGAAAAGAUACUCGAAUAAGUUUUACCAGCUUCCUUCAUACUAGUAUGAUGAAUGCAGGAAUCCGCGUCUAUAAGGAUGAUAGAGAAGUCCCCAAGGGGAAAAAAUUUGGCCCGGAACUUCUCCAAGCAAUUAAUCAAUCGAAGAUCUCAAUACCUAUAUUUUCAAAAGGUUAUGCCUUUAGCGUAUGGUGUCUCAAUGAGCUAGUCCAGAUGGUCGAGUGCCAAAAAACUAGGGGACAAAUGAUUAUGCCAAUUUUUUAUGAUGUGGCACCUUCAGAGGUUCGACACCAAACCGGGGGUUAUGGAAAGGCCUUUCUUUCACAUGAACAGAAAAAACGAUAUGAUGAAGAGACUAUGCGUCAGUGGAAGGCUGCUCUCAGUGCAGUUGGGGCAAUACAUGGGUGGGACUUGCACAACAUGCCCAACAGGUGACUACCUCUAUCAUUCCAUUUGAUGUGCCUAGUACCAUUAAAACUUUUAAUGUGGUUCAAAAUUGGUUUCUUUUCUAGAUUUGUGUGAUCCUCGUUGAAAUUUAAUUUUAUGCUAUUGAAAUUAUACUACAAAAAUCACAUAAAAUAAUGGUACAAUCCCAAUUUUUUCCCUUUUCAUUCCAAACAAUUUUUUUUUUUCAAUUUAGGUCAUUCAUUAAUCAUAUGUGCCAAUGCUAAUUCAUCUACAAUGGAGUAAAUCCUUACAAAAUGCAUUUCGAAUAGGUCUCUAGUUUUUACUUUGUUCUUGUCAGAAUAUAGUUUGGUUCAACACAAUUUUCUAACUCAUUGCCAUUUGACCUCCAACAAACACUAGGGAAGAAGGUGAGAUCACAAAUACAGUAACCCAAAAGGUUUUCAAUGAGUUGAAGAAGGCUUAUCUGGUGGUAUCAGAUUACUUGGUCAAUGUCGACAACCAUGUGGGUGCAAUCAUGGAAAUGAUAGGUGCUCAAACAAGUGAAACACGCAUCAUAGGAAUCUAUGGGAUGGGUGGUAUUGGAAAGACGACUAUUGCCAAAAUCAUCUACAAUCAACUUUCACAUGGAUUUGAGAAUUGUUGCUUUCUUCCCGAUAUCCAAGAAAUGUCAAAAGGUAACCGCAUUCCAUCCUUGCAGAAUCAGCUCAUCAACGACAUCCUAAAAAAAAAAUGGACAGACAUAAAAAACAUUGACGAUGGGAUUCAGGCAAUUAAAAAUAGGUUGUCUAAUAAGAGAGUUCUCCUUCUUCUUGAUGAUGUGGAAAAAGUUGAUCAUAUGCGUGCACUUGUAGGUAAGGGGAGUAAACUCAUAAUUACUACGAGAAACCAAGAUGUUCUCAUUGUUCCUGAAGACUCCACUUAUGAGGUUAAUGGUAUGGAUGAUUAUCAAUCUCUUCAACUUUUUAGCAAACAGGCCUUCAGAAGAGAUUCUCCUAUAGACGAAUAUAUCGACCUAUCCAAGAGGGCAGUACACAUUGCUGGAGGUCUUCCAUUAGCCCUUGAGGUCAUAGGUUCACUUUUAUCCGGCAAAAAUAAGGAAUGUGGGAUGCCACAUUGAAGAAGCUAGAAAGUGUUCCUCAUGAUAAAGUUCAGAGUAAGCUGAAAAUAAGUUAUGAUGCAUUAAAUAAUCGGCAGCGGCAUAUAUUCCUUGAUAUUGCUUGUCUAUUCAUUGGAUGUCUCAAAGACAUUGUGUUUUAUUUCUGGGAUGCAUCUAAACUUUUUCCGGAAGUAGACGUUGAAGUUUUGCAGAACAUGUCUUUAAUAAAGAUUGGAGAAGAUAAUAUAUUGUGGAUGCAUGAUCAACUCAGAGACCUUGGAAGAGAAAUAGUUCGUGAAGAAAGUGAGAUGAAUAUAGAGGAGCAACGUUGCGUGUGGAAUCCGGAGGAUGGAUUAAAUCUGCUAAGGAUACAUGAGGUAAAAUGCUUUGUGCAAUAGAUCUCCAAAUUAUUUAUAGACAUUUUCUUUUCCAAAAAAAGUAGUUACUUUUUGUGUUCUGUAGCACCAUCGCGACCUACUCAACCGAUAGUUUUGGUCUUUUAAGAUUUUAAAGGAAUGAUAAUAGUCAACUCCAACCCUUAAAAUAGUGAACUUGAAGAAAUGUGUUUCCUUUCAACUUUUUUGUUUAAAAUUUUUUCCUUUGGGCAGGAAAAGAAAAAAGUUGAAGCUCUUCGUCUCAAGUUUGAUGAUCAGCACCGUUUUACCUAUGACGACUUUAAGAGCCUGCCAUAUCUAACGUUCCUUGAAGUAGACGACUUGAAGGAAAAUUUUCGUGGAGAAAAGAUGCUUCGUUGGCUCAAAUGGCCAUCAUAUGCUCUUCCAACUAAUAUUUUCCAGAGGAAUUCAAAUCUCCUUCCACGAUUACGAUGGCUUUCUUGGCAUAAUAUUAGCCCAACAUUUAAGAUUGCAAAUUUCUCCGUAGAGAAUUUGAUUAUCCUUGAUCUAUCUCAGAGUGAAAUCACUCGUGAUUGGAAGGGGUGGAGCCACAUGAAGGUAUGUUAUAUGCUAGAGAACAUUUAUUCUUCCGUUUUAUUAGAUUCAAAAGUGAACUUUGCAUGAUUUUUCUUUCACAGGUGAUUAAGAAUUUGAAAGUUCUAAAUCUGGCCAAUUGUCGAUGCUUGAAGAGAACCCCUAACUUCUCAACUCAUUCAAAUUUAGAACGUUUGAUCCUAUCAAAGUGUUACUCAUUAAUCGAAAUUGAUAGAUCGAUUUGUCAGUUGAAACGCUUGGUUUUCUUAGAUGUAAGCGGUUGUUGGGGUCUUCAGAGGCUGCCAAAUGAGCUGGGGGAUCUUGCAAGCCUCAAAUACCUAUCUCUAAGUGGUUGCAGGGGAUUGAAGAGGCUUCCAAAUGAGCUGGGAGAUCUUGCAAGCCUCAAAUACCUAUCUCUAAGUUGUUGCAGGGGAUUGAAGAGGCUUCUGGAGACAAUCAGGAAUUUGGAAUCGCUGAUUGAGUUGAACAUGAGUGGCCUGACAAUCAAAGAACUACCCGAUUCCAUCAAAAAGUUGAAGAAUUUGAAAAUAGUGAAUAUGAAAAAUGUUUACAUAAGCAAAAUACAUGAUACCUUUUGGACAAUAGAGAAGCUUGAAAUAAUAGAACUCAGCUACAUUAAUUAUGAUGACAAGCACGUGGCAAUUGGUGAUUGCAUAUAUGAGAAUAAAUCCUUGAGGAUCUUGAGAUUGUCAAUGGCGGAGAGAAUACACGCCCCACCAAGGCUCCCUGAAAGUCUUUUGGAAUUAGAACUGAAGUGGUUGAGGGAGGGCCCAUUUCCGGAUCUCUCAAAUCUCGCUAACUUAAAGGUAUUGGAUCUGACCUUUGGCCCACCUAAUUCUGAUGGGAAAUAUUAUGGGCUUCUGGAAGAACCGAUACCACCGUGGAUUGGGAACUUAACCAAAUUGGAAUCUCUGAAAAUCUGCUUUCCCUGGAUGUUCGCCUCAUCGAGAAACCUCAGCCUCCCUCCUCAUCCGCGUCGCCUCCCGAGGCUUCCCUCAAAUUUAUCCUCCUUAACUUUCGAUGGUUGCCUGUCACUUUGCUCGAUGGAUCUAUCGAAUUUGAGGAAACUAUCGUCUCUCGACAUUUCGAGGUCUGCAGUUGCAGAGAUUGAAGGCCUUGGUUGUUUGGAGAACCUACGAGAUUUCAGCCUUUGGUCCGUCGUACAGCUGGUGAUGCUACCUGAUCUAAGCAAGUUAAACAAGCUAAGGCUUAUUGCAGUACAGGCGUGCGAUAAUCUGGUUGAGAUUCAAGGCGAAGUACCGCGGUUUUUGGAUCAUCUUAAAAUUGAUUACUGCCGUUCGUUACGGGAGUUCCCCGAUCUGUUCAGCUUAAUGGGUAAGAAAGAUGUUUGUAUGCAUAUUCUCGAUCAGGUGUUUUAUUAUACAGAUGGACAUCGAUUGCUGGUUUGUGGCUUUAAACAGAUGCAGAUCCCUGAUCUAAGCAAUUGUAACGGACUAACAAUUCUUACAGUAGAAUCUUGUCAUAAUCUGGUUGAGAUUCAAGGCGAACUACCCCAAUCUUUGGAAGAAUUGUACAUUAAAUCUUGUGAAUCUUUACAGAAGUUACCUGAUCUGUCAAGCUUGACGGGACUGAGAAAGGUUACAAUAAGACGUUGUGGGAAAUUAGCGGUGGAGGAAAUUUCUCGGCUUUGCUCGGAGAAGUCAAUCGAAUUUGUGGGAGAAGACGAUGAAGAAGACGAAUCUGUGGAAGAAGACGAUGAAGAAGACGAAUCUGAUGAAGAAGACGAUGAAGAAGAUGAAUGAGUGCACGUUGCACUUGGAAGCUUUUUGAUGCGCGACCGCAAAUUGUUCCCUUGUGUUCAAACCUUAAACAAAUUGAGGUAAGUACCAAUGUUUUCCUGUUUUUGGCAAUCAAAUUCUUUCACAUAUAUGAACAGAGAAGUUUUGCAUGCACUUUUUAACGACCUUUUAGCGGAUUCUUGUCUGAAAAUCUGAUGAAGGUAUUUAAAUUAUGAUGCCUCCGAACAGCCAGAGGGCUCUUAAUUAUGUACAAGUUUUUGUGUUCUUUUCCUAGUUUGGUUUGGCUUUUUUAGCUACAUUUUCUUAGGAUGGUUUCUCCUAGAGGUAUGCAUGUCGAUUGCAUCAUUUUUAUUUGAUACGUAACAAAUUAUUAGAGAUCGUUGUUGAUUUGCUGCUUCACACAUAUUUUGAAAUUGAUAACCUCACUUCACAUGGGAGAUAAAUUCACUAUGCUGUAAACAAAUAGAUGGAAUGUGUGUUGGAAGGUUAUACAACUAUGGUUCUCAUCCUGGGACUUUACAGCACAAUCAACUCAUUGUUGCGACUUUGAAGUAGACAGAUACUCUGUAUUGCCAUGCUUAAGUUCAGUUUAUUUUCAGGAAAUGUGUGCUUCUUAGUGGGAUUUGCAAAUGUUAUGGAGAAGUCAUAAAUGAGGGAGCCACUGCAAUUCUGAGACUACCAGUGUGGCAGCACUGGCUAAAGCAAUAGCACCAGAAUAUUUUAUCUCAGCAAUGAUGCCUUCGAUCAUAGCAAUCUUUGACGGGCACACUGACAAAAAUCAUUCUGUGCAGCAAACGUCGCCUAUAGGCGUAACUGAGAGAAUACAGCAUUCGCUGUACCAGUAGAGAAGGAGCGCCCUUUUGCUGAGACUUGAGAAUUGCACUCACUUACAAAAGAUUGGUAAGAAAAAGAGAGCACCUUCCCUUGGGGCUGCCUUCAGUUAAAAAUUGUUCCCCGGAAUAAAAACAUUUUUUUUUUAUUUCUGUCCCUGGAAUAAUUUUUGAAUAGAAACGUUACCAAACGCGCCAUAAAACUCCUACGAUCAUCAUUGAGACUAGGGCAAAGAAUCUGUACAUGAAUAAAGCAUGAGAGCAUUGAAUCCCCAAAAGUAUAUUUAUUAAACUCCCAAAUCUAUAUCGAGAGAUUUUUUGAGGAACGGAGAAAGGCCCUCAUCCCAGUUGAUCAUUAAAAUUAAUACCAUAAAGAAAAGGAUAAAUAAAUUCCUUGCCAAGAGGGCAUUUGGGUAUUUUGACAGCACCAAAAAGACAAAACGCAAUUGAUAGGGGAGAAAGGAGAGGAGGAGAGGGAAAAGGACAAGGGGCCAUGAUUAUGGCGGAUGGAACGUAGGCCUAUCAACUAUUGGUGGUUACAUGACUCACAUGGCAAAUGGAACGUAGACCUGUCAACUGUCGGUGGUCACAUGACUCACAUGAGGGGACUAAUGAUAUCGAGUGCAGUGGAGCGGGAGCCAAUUGAUAGGAAGAAGAUGCUAAAUCAAUCCGGGGUCAUGCGUACCAAUGGAUGAGAUGGAACGUAUGGAGAAUUCACAUGAUCCAUCUGUGCAUGAGUCGAGUUCACAUGCCCUGGUGCUCAAGCGGGCAAGACCUGCUCGAAGAAUAGGGAGGAAGUGAAGAGAGGUGUAAUCCAGUCCAUAUGCCGGAUUUGGUAGGGCAACCCCGAAAUCAUGGAUUUUUAGCCCAUGCGUCCCCAUUGAAAUUGCCAUAUUUUCCCAACUUCCUUUGUAUUUUUGAGGUUUGGAGAGCACGAAAAACAGACGGGGCGUUUUCUUCAAAAUAGACUUGAUACUUUUUCCCCGAUUGGGACACACCCCUGUCCUGAAAGCGACACUACAACUAUGUUCAAGCAAAGCCACGAGUGGGUCCCCGUGCCCUGUCAUUCUUGUUAAUUUGUGGGCAAGGGCGGGGGCAUUUAUGGCGACACGGUGCUCUCGGAUGAUUCAAUGGAAGAAGGAAGACGCAUUGGACACCGUGCGGUUCUAUUUCAGGGUGAAAGCAAACUCUACUAAGACAAUAUCAUUAGAAUACGAACUGCCCCCGGCUCUCAGCAUAGUCAACAAAUCCUGUGUACUACUUUUAAUGACCCAUGGAGAUCUCCAUUUGUAAUUUUGGCUUCUAAAAGUGACUUAUAUUUCACAAUGUGCUGCAUUGAUUUUGCUGUUAUACAGUUAGACUUUUUUUCUCAGAGAGAAGAUCAAGAGAGAUCAAUGAAGAGGAGGCAAUGCUUUAUUUAUUCAGCAUAGAAUUGAUCGUUAUCCAGAUCGUGAAAAGCUUAUGAUAUUGUAAGGGCCAACUCUUUACAAGUGACUUUGGUUGGCUAAAGAAUGGUUGAAAGAAGUUGACUUUGGCUGUUUUGGUUUCUAUCGAGUCAAUAUCGUGAAACUUUAGUUGCGAAGUGGCUCCUUUCUCUCAUGAAACACAAAAUGUUUAGUAGCCUCGGAAUUGAUUUAGAAACUUGAAAAAUACUCGCAAAACAAAUACCAUAUGUUCAAAAGAACUUUUAUCUUUAAAUAAUCUAGCCAAUCGUAUUAUCAAUCAAUAGAAAAGUUGAUAACAUCUAAUUUAAUUGAAUGGAAAGAACAAAAGUGCCGUAUACAUAUAAUUUUGCCUUGCGUCAAAAUACUAUCAUUAGAUUUAAAAUCGCAUUAGCUACAACUCUCAGAAAGAGAAAAAAAGAAGAUAGAACAGCGUAUGGAGUGGUGCAAGAAGACGGAAGUGUCACGGGAUUAGAAGGGCAAAGUCAAAGUCAACGAAGACUUGGACUACCAAGAGUCCAUGAUGAACCAGCUUGCUCUGGAAGGAAUCACACCAAUGAUCCAUUUACUUGGCACUCUGUGCCUCCCAAUCAGACUUCCAUAAAUUUAGAGAUUUUAUUAUAAAAAUAUUUCACUAAGAUCAUUCUGUAAAAUCCUACACUUAUUCAUUAUUCUCUCAUUCAACCCCCAAUAAUCAUAUGACAACAAAUCGAUGUCCAAUUCUCAUAUCCAUUGAUAAUUCCAUCUUACUAUUUCUUUCAAUCGAAUAACAUCAUGUGAAAACAAACUCUUAGGUUGUGUUUAUCUCACUGAGAAUUUUUUUUUGUUGCGGGAAAAUGUUUUAGGAAAUUCAAUCUCAGAAAAAGUAAACACAAAAUUUUGAUUGUGCUGAAAACAAGUUGAAGAAAUUUAUUUUAUCAUAAUUGGUAAUCAGUGAAUUCAUUAAGGGUGGCUUGUAUAGUUAAAAGUAACAUGUGAUGACUAAUAAACUGGAUAUGAUAUCAUCACCGUUUAUUCUAUAAUCCACGAAAAUAACAACGAUUACAAAGAAAUUAGGACAAAAAUCAAGGAAAACAAAUCUUCUUGCUAAGUCAUUUUUCUCUAAGCUUAUUUAUUACUUUUUAGCCCAUGGUAAACGUUUUUAUGGAUCGAGUAGCUUUACAUGAUUCAAACACUGGAAAGUAAGGAAAGAAAUAUUCCAAAAGUGAUUUUUCAUCAAACAAAGAAGGAAGAUCGUGAGGGGCAAUUCCAGUUUUUUUUUUUUUUUUUUGGGGAAAAGUAUUACCCUUCGGCCCAAAAUUGUACGAGUGUUUGCACGCUAACAUUGUUGAUGAAUCCAUACCCAAAAAAGACAUUGAUAGAUGUUAAAUUGGUAUGACGAUAGACCAUAUAAUUGAUGCCAAUAAAGAGAUCCAAAGUGAACAAUCAUAUCCCUUCAUAUUCUUUCUUGUCUCGAAAAGGAGAAGAACAUAAGUGAAAUGCUAAAAAGAAGGUGGACGAAUGUAAGGUCUCAAGCGCAUAGAGAAAGAGGAAAAGGCAAAGCAAGAAUAUAUUCCAUUACACUUUUGUUAAAGUUAGCAUUAUGUUCAUUUCAUGAAAAAUGAAUGAUAAUCAUCGUUUAUAUUUCUUGAAAUAAUUAAUUAAUGAAUUUUUUUUACUAUCAAUAAUAAUUUAUGUCUAUAUAUUUUCAUAGAUAAUGAAAAUAUCUUUAAUUUAUUCAUUUUUAUGAAUGAUAUAAAAUGUUUUCCAAAUCGUUCAUUUUUUAUGAAAUAAAUGGAGAAUAAGUUGAAGCUCGUUUAUUUUGCAUAUUAGUUUCAAAUUAAGGUCGGAGCUCUUUCAGCUAAAAUAGAGAGGAAUCCGUCCCAUUUAUUAUUCAAAAAAACCGCAUCUCCAAAUUAUACCACUUCUUGGACCCUAAAAAUUGUGAGAGACAACUUGUUAUCAAGGAGGUAUAAUUUUUUAAAAACUUAUAACUUUGACAAGUGGUCUAAAGUCACUUUAGACCAUACUAAAAUCGCAUCAUAUCCACAUUGGCUCCAUUUGCCUAUCAAUGUCCAAGCAAGUGGUCACAUUGGAUUUUUAACGGCCGUCUUGAAUGGAACUGUGACGCAUAAUAUUUGCAAGUCACUGAUACAAGUUUAUAUAUAGUAUUAGUAACAAGUAAAAGAAUUGGGUUUCGUUGUCACACCAGGCAAGGUUUAGGCUUUUUGGUGGAAUUCUCCUGAGUCAUGUCUGCUUCAUUUGUCUACUGUUGUCCAGGCAAACAGGCACAUUAAAUCUUUAAUGACCAUCUUGGAUGGAGAGUACUUUUGGAUUUUUGAUACAAGUUUCGAUUUUUUAUGAUAUCAAAAAAAGUUAGAAUAAUUAGUGUCAUAGUUAAUAUAGUUUAGGAUUUUUACGUGUCGCCCACCCAUUGCCAUCACAAGCCCUCACCUUCAUGUGUGAAUCCACCGGCGACCUCAACUCCUCACCAAUUUGACUUGUUUGCUAUCCUUUGGUCUCUUUUUUUCUCCCCAUGGAACUCAACCUAUGUGUAGAAGUCGCGACAGACGGAGGUUGCUGGCCUCGCACGGCUGUGGUUGCAUGUGGCCACGGUAUCGGGGCUCGACUCAAUUAAUUUGCUCGAUUUUUUAAAUUUUAGAACUUUGUAAGAUUUCAAACUACAACCAUCCCAUCAAAUGAAUUGGGUUGGAUAAUGUUUUGAUCUGAUCUAGAGAGACUAAUUGUCCAUAUUUCUAGAAGUGACAUUAGGAAGAAAUUAUUUAUAUUAUAGAGAUUCAAAAAGAUUUGAACUUUUGUCUUUUUUUUUUUAAUUUUAUUUUAAGGGGAAUAAAAACUUUGCACUUACCAAAAAAAAAAAAAUUGCACUGUGCUGUGUCCAAUAUAAAUGCAAUCAUGUUGUUUGUUGAGAUGUAAGACCCUUCGGGAAUUAUUUAAGUUCGUGAGACUCGAGUCAAAUUUUUUUAACAAGAAAACUCUGCAUUGUGCUAUGUCCAUAUUUGUAGAAGUGACAUUUGGAAGGAUACUCCGCUAGCCAUGGUCUGUUUGCUAGUUUAACCUUCCAAUGACAUUCCACCACUUUAAUACUUCAGCUUACACUUGUUUGCAAGCACAGCUGAAGUAUUUUUUUAAAUACAUUGAUUUUUUUUUUUUUUUGGUAAUAUGAAAGCCUUGGGCAAGAAUUCAAACAGUCACCGAAGUGUAGGAUUCGUAAUUUAGUUUUGCUCAUCAAAUAAAAGGAUGUGAUCAAAUAUGAACUCGAAAAGGAGAGUGGAGGGCCAAAUCUCUAGAAUCAACCUUAGAAAGGGACAAUUUUCGUUCCCAAGAUAUGAGAAGAGACAACUUACAUCAAAGCGGAUGUGCUUGGUUGGUCUUGGAGACCAACUUAUGCAUCAUAGCACGUGAAACGUUGUUGCUACUAUUCUUUUUUUUCUUCCUCAAAGCUAGUGUAGUGUGAACAAUGUUUAGGAAAUGCCAGAUGAAAGAUGGAGGCCUUUUCCGAUGUGUAGAGAAUAAUCCUUCAGAACCUUUUAUGAAAUUGCAGUUGAAUAUUAUCUCCUCAGAAGGCAUUCAGAGGGGGGAAAAAUAGUGUGCACCAUACACUAUAGAGUGUGAAUCCCAACACUUGCCCAUUCGCUCCUUGAGAUUUUAAAGUGCCGCUUACUCCCUUAGUAGUACCGAAACGCGACACGACACAUCAAUAUGUCAUUUAUAAAAAAUAAGGAGUUUCGACAUGUUGGGAUACGUUAUAUAUUAAAUAAAUAUUUUUAUUUUUAAUUAAUUUGAUUCAAAUUCAUAAAUAAUUAAUUAAAAGAAGAGCAUACAAUGAAAAUACACUAAUAAUAUUAAUGAAUCAAUUCAUUGGAAAUUAGAAAGAUAUAUUCAUAAUUAAUAUGUAUCCAUAUUUGGAAAUAUAUUUUUAAUUUUAACCAAAAUUAUUGAUGAAAUCGAUAAUUAAUAAGAAAUUAGAAUCAACUUGUUUAAAUAAAUUCAUAAUCUUCAAAUUCAUAAUCUUCUACAAUGAUAAAAAUUUAUUAUCAUUUAAAAUUCAGUACUUUUAUUUUUUAGAAUUAUUUUUUAAUCUUAUUUAUUUAUUCGAUUAAAAAAAAUCUCCUUGAGGGGUCCAUCGCCAACCCCCACUCCUUUCUUUCUUUCGUAUAUUUCCCCCCGGCCCCAAAUUUAUUUCAAUUUUUUUUCCCACUCUUCCCCACGUCAGACCAUUUCCCCCCCCCCACCCCCAAAUUUAUUUAACUCUUUUUCCCAUCCCCCACCCACGUGACAGGCUGUCACUUCACCCCCCAUCCANNNNNNNNNNNNNNNNNNNNNNNNNNNNNNNNNNNNNNNNNNNNNNNNNNNNNNNNNNNNNNNNNNNNNNNNNNNNNNNNNNNNNNNNNNNNNNNNNNNNUGACAGGCUGUCACUUCACCCCCCAUCAGCCUCUCUUUUUUAUCCUUUUUGAGUUACCAAAACCCAAGCAAGCGCGUCCUUCUCCUCCUCCUCUCGCCGCUCGCCGCACCCGCACGACCCCCUUCCUCUCCUUUUCCUCUCGAUACUUCUCCUCCUCCUCGCCGCACGACCCCCUUCCUCUCCUCUUCCUCUCUAUCCUUCUCCUCCUCCGCCUCGUCGCCGAUCCGUCGCAGCGUCAGUGACCGCCCUCGCCUCAGUCUCUACUCUUUGUCUGGCGGUUUCUCGCCGUCGCGGGCUCGCCGUUGCUCGUUACUCCAUCCUGAUCUUUAAGUGCCGCCUCUCAUCUCUGCUAUUCCACCAUUCCCCUGUAUUUCUAUCUGAAAACCUUCUCUUUGCUAACUCACAAAAAGCUUGAGCACUUGCUGUUGCCUGUAUUGUGACAGUUGCUGCCAUAGCUCUCUCUGCCAUCCUGUUCAAAGGAUUCCUGAAGAAAAGAGCUGGUCAGACCGCUGUGGAGGGCAGUGCAGAUAAUAAUUCAGCUACACAGAAUGGUACCGUAGAGAGGGCUGCUCGUACUUGCACUACACCACAAGUUGAGGAAAUGGCAACAUCUUCCGGAUAUGACUAUGAAGUAUUCUUGAGUUUCAGAGGGCUUGACACACGAUCAGCUUUUACCGACUUCCUUUAUACUUAUCUUAUAGAUGCAGGAAUCCGCACAUUUAGGGACGAUGACGCGCUCCGUGUCGGCGAAGAGUUUGCCCCAGAACUUCUUGAAGCAAUCAAUCAGUCGAAGAUCUUAAUACCUAUCUUUUCAAAAGGUUAUGCCUCUAGCGUAUGGUGUCUCAGAGAGCUAGUUCAAAUGGUCAAGUGCCAGAAAAAUGAAGGACAAAAGAUCAUGCCCAUUUUUUAUGAUGUGACACCUUCGGAGGUUCGACACCAAACCGGGAGUUUUGAAAAUGCUUUUGUUUCACACAAAAGAAAGAAGCGAUAUGAUGAAAAGACUAUAGCAGAGUGGAAGGAUGCUCUCACUACAGUCGCGGAUAUAAAUGGAUGGGACCUGCAAAGCAUGCCCAACAGGUGACUACUUUUAGCAUUCCAUCUCAUGUGCCUUGUAUCGUUAAACUCGAUGCAUUUAAAUUGGUUUCUUUUCUAAAUUUGUGUUAGUCUUGUUGAAAUUGAAUUGUAUGCAAUUGAAAUUAUGCAGCAAAAUCAGGCUAAAUAAUAUCACAAUGUCAAUUUUUGUCCCAUUUCAUUCCCAGCAAGCAACAUUUUUCGUUAGUUCAGAUCAUUCAUUUACCCUAAGUUCCAGUGCUAGUUUAUCAAAAUGGUAUAAAUCGUUGAGGAACGCAUUUAUAAUAGGUCUGUAGUUUUCAAUUUGGUUUUGUCAGAGCAUAGUUUGGCUUAACUCAAUUUUCUAACUCAUUCCCUUUUGACUUUCAACAAACAAUAGGCGAGAAGGUCAGUUUGCAAAAGAAAUCACGCAGAAGGUUUUCAAUGAGUUGAAAAGGGCUUAUUUGGUAGUAUCAAAUUACUUGGUCAAUGUCGACAACCAUGUGGAUGCAAUCAUGGAAUUGAUAGGUCCUCAUACAAGUGGAACACGGAUUAUAGGAAUCUAUGGGAUGGGCGGCAUCGGGAAGACGACAAUUGCCAAAAUCAUCUAUAAUCAGCUUAUAGAAAAAUUUGAGUGCUAUUGCUUUCUGUCUGACAUCCGUGAAACGUCAGAACAACGCGGGGGCAUUGAAUCCUUGCAAAAUCAGCUCAUCUCCAGCAUUCUCAAAAAGAAAUGCACAGAUAUAAGAAACAUUGAUGAUGGGAUUAAUACCAUCAAAGACAGAUUGUCUAAUAAAAGAGUCCUCCUCCUUCUCGAUGAUGUGCAUAAAAAGAAGCAUAUGGAUGCACUUGCAGGUGAGUGUGAUUGGUUUGGUAAAGGGAGCCUACUUAUUAUUACUACUAGAAAAAAAGAAGUUCUUGAUGUUCUUAAAGUGGACGGCUGUUAUGAGCUUUCGGGCAUGGAUCACGAUCAAUCUCUUCAACUCUUUAGCAAACAUGCCUUUAGAAGAGAUCAUCCUUUGGACGAGUAUAUCGACCAAUCCGAGAGGGCGAUAAAAAUUGCUGGAGGUCUUCCACUAGCUCUUGAGGUCAUGGGUUCACGUUUAUCUUGCACUACUGAAAAGAAAAAGUGGGAUUUCGAAUUACGUAAGUGGGAAAGUGAUCCUCAUAAGGAUGUCCAGAGUAGAUUGAAAAUAAGUUAUGAUGAAUUAGAAGAAAAGGAAAAGCAAAAGUUCCUUGAUAUAGCUUGUCUCUUAAUUGGAUAUGAUAAAGACAUUGUAGUUCAUUUUUGGGAAUCUGAAUUCCAUCCGGAAUAUGCCAUGGAUGUUUUGGAGAACAUGUCUUUGGUAAAGAUUAAAGAGGAUAAUAAAGUGUGGAUGCACGACCAACUUAGAGACCUUGGAAGACAAAUAGUUUGUCAAGAAACCAAUAUAAAUAAACAAAGUAGGGUGUGGGAUCGUGAGAAAGCGUUGGAUUUGCUGAAGAGCCCUAAGGUAAAAUCCCCUGUGCAUUAAUUUCCAAGUUACUUAUGGACAUUUUUGCUUUUUUAAGAUUAAUGGACGGUAGUACUCAACUCAGUCCCUUAAAAUAGUGAAUUUGGCUAAAUGUGUUUCCCUUCAACUCUCUUGUUUUUAAAAAUUUUCCUUUGGGCAGAUGAAGAAAAAAGUUGAAGCUCUUCGCCUCCGCUUGGACCAUCAGCACCGUUUUACCUACAAGGACUUUAAGAGCCUAUCAAGGCUAAGGUUCCUUAAAGUUGAUGACUUGGAGCAAACUUUUUGUGUAGAAAAGAUGCUUCUUCAGCACAAAGGGCCAUCAAGUGUUCUUCCAAUUGAUGUUUUGGAUUCAAAUCUCCUUCCAGAAUUACGCUGGCUUUCUUGGCAUAAUAUUCACCCAACAUUUGAGAUUGCAAAUUUCUCCGUAGAGAAUUUGACUAUCCUAGAUCUAUCUCGGAGUGAAAUUACUCAUGAUUGGAAGGGGUGGAGCCACAUGAAGGUAUGUCAUAUGCUAGACGAUACUUGUUCUUCCAUCUCAUUAAAUUUGAAAGUAAUCUGUGCAUGAUUUUUCUUUCACAGGGGAUUAAGAAUUUGAAAGUUCUGAAUCUGGCCCAUUGCCAAUGCUUGGAGAGAACCCCCAACUUCUCAGCUCAUUCAAAUUUGGAAUAUUUGAUCCUAUCAUGGUGUAAAUCAUUAAUCGAAAUUGAUAGAUCGAUUUCCCAGUUGAAACACUUGGUUUUCUUAGAUGUAAGCAAUUGUGGGAGUCUUCAGAGGCUGCCGGAUGAGUUGGGUAGAGAUCUGGUUUUCUUAGAUGUAAGCUAUUGUGAGAGUCUUCAGAGGCUGCCGGAUGAGUUGGGUAGAGAUCUUGCAAGCCUCAAAUACCUAUCUCUAAGGGGAUGCUCGAGUUUGAAGAGGCUUCCGGAGACAAUUGGGAAUUUGGAAUCGCUGAUUGAGUUGAACAUAGGUGGCCUUACAACGAAAAUCAAAGAACUACCCGAUUCCAUCAAAAAGUUGAAGAAUUUGAAAAUAGUGAAUAUGCAGUAUGGUGACAUAGGCAAAAUACACAAUACCUUUUGGACGAUGGAGAAGCUUGAAAAAAUAAAUAUCAUCCACGAGGCUUAUCAUUACGGGGGUUUACACGUGGAAAUUGGUGAUGGCAUCUAUGAGAAUAAAUCCUUGAGGAUCUUGAGAUUGGAAGGGGUGAGAAUACACGCCCUACCAAGGCUUCCCGAAAGUCUCAUCGAAUUACAAGUGGAGGAGUUGAGGGUGGUUCCAGAUCUCUCAAAUCUCGCUAACUUAAAGGUAUUGAAACUGGGCUUUGGCCCACCUGAUCCUGAUGGGAAAUUUUAUGGGUUUCUGGAAGAACUGACACCACGGGGGAUUGGGAACUUAACCAAAUUGAAGCCUCUGACACUCUGGUAUUCCAGGGGGAGCGCCUCAUCGACAGACCUGAGCCUCCCUCCUCAUCCGCGUCGCCUCACGGGGCUUCCCUCAAAUUUAUCCUCCUUAGAACUCCGUGAUUGCGACUCACUUUGCUCGAUGGAUCUAUCGAAUUUGAGGAAACUAUCGUCUCUCUUGAUUUGGGACUGUGCAGUUGCAGAGAUUGAAGGCCUUGGUUGUUUGGAGAACCUACGAGAUUUGAACCUUCAGGGCGACGGACAGCUGGCGAUGCUACCUGAUCUAAGCAAGUUAAACAAGCUGAGGGAAAUUAAAGUACGCAAUUGUGGUAAUCUGGUUGAGAUUCAAGGCGAACUACCGCGGUUUUUGGUUGAUAUUUUAAUUUAUCGCUGCGAUUCGUUACGGGAGUGCCCCGAUCUGUUCAGCUUACCCGAUCUGUUCAGCUUAAUGGGUAAGAAAGAUGUUUGUAUGCAUAUUCUCGAUCAGGUGUUUUAUUAUACAGAUGGACAUCGAUUGCUGGUUCGUGGCUUUAAACAGAUGCAGAUCCCUGAUCUAAGCAAUUGUAACGGACUAACAAUUCUUACAGUAGAAUCUUGUCAUAAUCUGGUUGAGAUUCAAGGCAAACUACCCCAAUCUUUGGAAGAAUUGUACAUUAAAUCUUGUGAAUCUUUACAGAAGUUACCUGAUCUGUCAAGCUUGACGGGACUGAGAAAGGUUACAAUAAGACGUUGUGGGAAAUUAGCGGUGGAGGAAAUUUCUCGGCUUUGCUCGGAGAAGUCAAUCAAAUUUCUGGGAGAAGACGAUGAAGAAGAUGAAUAAGUGCACGUUGCACUUGGAAGCUUUUUGAUGCGCGACCACAAAUUGUUCCCUUGUGUUCAAACCUUAAACGAAUUGAGGUAAGUACCAAUGUUUUCCUUUUUUUGGCAAUCAAAUUCUUUCACAUAUAUGAACAGAGAAGUUUUGCAUGCACUUUUUAACGACCUUUUAGCGGAUUCUUGUCUGAAAAUCUGAUGAAGGUAUUUAAAUUAUGAUGCCUCUGAACAGCCAGAGGGCUCUUAAUUAUGUACGAGUAUUUGUGUUCUUUUCCUAGUUUGGUUUGGCUUUUUUAGCUACAUUUUCUUAGGAUGGUUUCUCCUAGAGGUAUGCAUGUUGAUUGCAUCAUUUUUAUUUGAUAUGUAACAAAUUAUUAGAGAUCGUUGUUGAUUUGCUGCUUCACACAUAUUUUGAAAUUGAUAACCUCACUUCGCAUGGGAGAUAAAUUCGCUAUGCUGUAAACAAAUAGAUGGAAUGUGUGUUGGAAGGUCACACAACUAUGGUUCUCAUCCUGGGACUUUACAACACAAUCAACUCACUGUUGCGACUUUGACGUAGACAGACACUCUGUAUUGCCAUGCUUAAGUUCAGUUUAUUUUGCAGGAAAGGUGUGCUUCUUAGUGGGAUUUGCAAAUGUUAUGGAGAAGUCAUAAAUGAGGGAGCCACCGCAAUUCUGAGAUUACUGGUGUGGUAGCACUGGCUAAAGCAGCAGCACCAUAAUAUUUAUCUCAGCAAUGAUGCCUUCAAUCAUAGCAAUCUUUGACGGGCACACUGACAAAAAUCAUUCUGUGCAGCAAACAUCGCCUACAGGAGUAAUUGAGAGAAUGCAGCAUUCGCUGUACCAGUAAAGAAGGAGCACCCUUUUGCUGAGACUUGAGAAUUGCACUCACUUACAAAAGAUUGGUAAGAAAAAGAGAACACCUUCCCUUGGGGCUGCCUUCAGUAUUAGAACUGUGCAUUCUGAAGCAAUAUUGGCAUUGUUUUUGUCAUGAGAUCCACUCAAUUCUAGUAAAACACUGGCACUGCCACCAAAGUUGGUAAUGCGUCAUAUGCUGCUCGCCACCUCAGAAGAACUUUCAUCAAGUAGUGGUGGCUCUUCCAUGUACUUGAAAACUUUCGUAGAACCUGGUGAUCAUAAAAGAAGAGCUUUGCACAAGCCAAGCAUCAAUUUGAGAAAAUCUUCCAAAUUCUUCCCAUGUACAAACUCCAAAAGAUUUCCAAUCCACCGUGUUACUUUUAGCUGAGAAAGCAACUUGGGAUCCAUAUCCUGAGCCAAUGCCAGAGCCACGCGCAGCUCAACAUCAUUCACAUUUGCACAGGACAGAUCACCAAGUGAAAAUCUGAAGCAGUGGCUGACUGUCUUUAGGUGUGGAAUCUCAGAAAUUUUAGUCAAGUUGAACUUUAUGAGCAUCAGGGACAGCUUCUGCGCAAACAUUGGUAUUGUGGUCCUCAUCCUCAAUCAAGGUUGGGUAAAGAGGGAGAAAUUGCACCAAGGACAUGGAUUUCAAGUUUGCCAGCUUAAGCUCUAACUCUGGAGUUUUGAUUAGGAAAAUGAACGUCGCAUCAAACGGAAUCUUGAGGCACAGAAGUCUGGCAUCACCAUCUUUGUUGCCCUUAUACAGAACAUCCAGACUCAGCAAAAUCCCACAGAUGAAUACGUUAGAGCUUUCAGCUCUGUGAUAGACUCAACGCCAGCAUUUUGAGCCGGCAAUGCAGGUUCUAGGAGCGGAUCAGUGUUGUGCUCUUGUUUUCUUUUUCAAUCUUGAACUGCUUUUGGAUCGUGUUUGUAAUUAGUGUGCUGAAUUAUGCUUCGUGUGAGUGUGAACCAUCUAAGUUUUGCCUGUCCAGUGUUUGGUGAUCAUGUGCAAUUUUGGUGUUUGACGAAAUGAGUUAUGUGCUUGAGUCUGCGUGUGCUAGAAUGUCACCUUCAAGAAGCACCUGAAGCUGAAGCUGAAGCGCAAGGUCUAUUGUGACGGUUUCCUCUCACCUGCACCUCCACUGGCAAGGUACCUUCGCUUUCACUACUAAUCUCUGCUAGUGAUGUCCAGCUCAACCUGGUCUGCAAUUCAGUUACCUUUGAUUAGGCUUGGACAUGAUUCGGUUUGAUUGGCUAAUCUGUGUCAAAAUUGCUGGCUAUUGAUUUAUUACCGUUUUCCCCCAUAUUUAGGUUGCUCGAUCGAACUGAACAGCAGCAGCUUGAUGCUGCUUACGAUUUCAUUUUUUCUAUCAUCACGGAUUGUUCUGUUCUGUGCUUCUGGUUGUAAUACUCGCCGUGAUUGAGCUUGUUUUGAGUAGAUUAGUCCAUGCUGUGAUUGAUGGUCGGAUAAUGCCAUAUCAUGGCAGCGAGCAGCUGUUGGGAUGCAGGAUUUUGAAGAAUGAUGAAGUUAUUUGUUCUGGUCAGUCAC
rnacentral:lncRNA from 1 species